CUUUGGGUUCAUCUUCCCCAAUUUUUCAUUUCUUCUUCCCUAAAUAGUGUGUGACUGAAGCUUUCUGAUAUUGUGGUCAGAGUUAGGUAUUUCUUGGGAGUCCUUCAGAAAGGAAAGGUGACGUCGAUUCACCAGUGGAGGCUCUUCGAGGUUCUCGUGUGAUCAGAAUCCAUUUAACCACUCCCUUCACAAUAUCCCAGGAAGGUCGUCACAGACUGCAAUAGUUGAAAGGGACAAAGCAAAUAGAAUUAUACUUGGCCAACGAAGUUUGUUGGAAUCAAGCUGAUAUAUUCCCACUUGGUGAAUGGUGAUGAAUUUCGUCAAUCCCUCUCUGGCUAAGAAAGAUCCUUGUCUCAUGGGUGCUAUAUGAUGUAGGUAAGGGUAAGAAGAAGCUUGGUCAGCCAUGGGUUGGAGAGUGUUAGAGGCGGUGUGUACAUAUGCAGUCUACUUGACCGCUGCGGCCGAGAUAUCUCAGGGGAACUAAGCUUUGAUGCAGGAAGAUGAUUAUGGAAGGCGGAAGGAUUCUUGGCAGCUUGGCUUGUGUGUUAAGGAUGAAUGGAAUGAAUGGACAGCGUAUCGAUCAAUGAUGACGCUAAUUUUUAGUCUUUUAAAUUAUGUUUUGAUGUAAUUCUGCUAUUGGUAUUUUAAACAAUUAAAAUCUAUGGUUUAUUUUUUUAUGUAUUAAACAAUGGGUACCCAUACCGUAUUUUAUAUUUCAUGUUUUACUUUGUAUUUUGCACAA